GACGAACGCUGGCGGCGUGCUUAACACAUGCAAGUCGAACGGAAAGGCCCUGCUUUUGCGGGGCGCUCGAGUGGCGAACGGGUGAGUAACACGCGAGUAACCUGCCCUUGACUUAGGGAUAACAUCAGGAAACUGGGGCUAAUACCGGAUAGGAGCUCCUGCUGCAUGGUGGGGGUUGGAAAGUUUCGGCGGUUGGGGGUGGACUCGCGGCGUAUCAGCUUGUUGGUGGAGUAGUGGCUUUCCAAGGCUUUGACGGGUAGCCGGCCUGAGAGGGUGACCGGCCACAUUGGGACUGAGAUACGGCCCAGGCUCCUACGGGAGGCAGCAGUGGGGAAUAUUGCACAAUGGGCGGAAGCCUGAUGCAGCAGCGCCGCGUGCGGGAUGACGGCCUUCGUGUUGUAAACCGCUUUCGCCUGUAACGAAGCGUGAGUGACGGUAAUGGGUAAAGAAGCACCGGCUUACUACGUG
rnacentral:rRNA from 1 species